rnacentral:rRNA from 1 species
CCUACGGGUGGCAGCAGUGGGGAAUAUUGCACAAUGGGGGAAACCCUGAUGCAGCGACGCCGCGUGAGUGAGGAAGUUCUUCGGUAUGUAAAGCUCUAUUAGCAGGGAAGAAAAUGACGGUACGUGACUAAUUACCCCCGGCUAACUACGUGCCAGCAGCCGCGGUUAUACGUAGGGGGCAAGCAUUAUCCGGUUUUUCUGGGUGUAAAGGGAGCGUAGACGGUAUUGCGAGGCUGGUGGGAAAAUCCUGGGGCCAAACCCGGAAUUGCAUUGGAAACUGGAUUUCGAGAGUGUCGGAGAGGCAAGUGGAAUUCCGGGUGAAGCGGUGAAAUGCGUAGAUAUCAGGAAGAACACCAGUGGCGAAGGCAGCUUGCUGG